rnacentral:rRNA from 1 species
UACAGAGGGUGCGAGCGUUAAUCGGAAUUACUGGGCGUAAAGCGCGCGUAGGCGGCUUUGUAAGUCGGUUGUGAAAUCCCCCGGGCUUAACCUGGGAACUGCAUCCGAGACUGCAUGGCUAGAGUAUGGGAGAGGGAAGUGGAAUUUCAGGUGUAGCGGUGAAAUGCGUAGAUAUCUGAAGGAACAUCAGUGGCGAAAGCGACUUCCUGGACCAAUACUGACGCUCAUGUGCGAAAGCGUGGGGAGCAAACAGG